rnacentral:rRNA from 1 species
AUUGAACGCUGGCGGCAGGCUUAACACAUGCAAGUCGAACGAGCGGCAGACGCGUGAGUAAUGCUUAUGAAUCGGCCUCUUACUGGGGGACGACAUCUCGAACGGGAUGCUAAUACCGCAUACUAAUAGCUGAGCCUGAGUCGAAUUGGCUAGUGGGUGGGGUAAAGGCCUACCAAGGCGACGAUCUGUAGCCGGUCUGAGAGGAUGACCAGCCACACUGGAACUGAGACACGGUCCAGACUCCUACGGGAGGCAGCAGUGGGGAAUAUUGCACAAUGGGCGCAAGCCUGAUGCAGCCAUGCCGCGUGUGUGAAGAAGGCCUUCGGGUUGUAAAGUACUUUCAGCGGGGAGGCGUUACCCGCAGAAGAAGCACCGGCUAACUCCGUGCCAGCAGCCGCGGUAAUUC